rnacentral:lncRNA from 1 species
AAAUUUACUAAAUUAGAGUGCUGUUCCAGUGUAAAGUUUAAAUUUUCGAAAAGCUAAACAGUAAAAACCCGCCAUACUCAGUCAUUAAGAAAGUGAGAAAAAUGGCAACACCACUUCACAGUUCUCACGGAAGUUCGUCUGCACAACUCUGAAGUCUUGCAGUUGUUAGGAAUGGUUGCUUGGUGAUGGUGAUGCUGCCACCAGCAUAGUGUUUCAAAGUUUCAAUCAUUGAAUUGUUUAUCUGUAACAUAGUGAGUUUGUCAAAUAGAUAGGCAAACGUUGACUCUGUUUCUCGAUUGCCUCAUCUGUGCUACUCACGUCCCGUUAUCCCCUUUUACGUGGUUGAAACAAAGUGCUAAGUUAAAUCAAGGAAAUGUUUGAAACAGCCCUUGUGCCUGUGCCCAGAUCACAUUCCCAUUGGCGAGAGAAGAGAGCCAUAGAUUGUUUGAUCACCUGCAUUGGAUUUUUCUAUCACCUUGCUAGAACAAAAUGAGUGCUACUAGACGAUUUUGUUCUGUGUGUUAUUAUUAGGUCCAAAUAAAACCACCGCUUUCUCUUAACACAACACUACCAAGUUUUUCAUGUAAAGUGUAACUGUUGAAGUUACUUCGGCCAUGCUUCUGCUUGUGAAGAAUCCAGCAAUACAGAAAAAGUAUUAAAUGGAGUGAACUAUUUAGUGACAGCACCACUGCACCACCUACCUUACAUGAACUGAGAAUGAGAGGAGAUGGUGAAAGGUUUCUUUAAAGCUGCUGAUGCUGUCCUUCCUCCUCAACCCAUGCAGAAACACUUUACAGUAAAAAUAGGUAUGUUAAGUUUUUCUUCUGUUUGAAUUUCUUUGAUUGUUUUUUUUUGUUUCAGUUGAGUUUUACGUUAGAAAUUUAACCACGGUUUGAUUUUAAGUCUGUAAUUUGGGAAUGAUUGUGUAUUAUAAACUAUUCCUUGUUAUUAUGGUUAUUAUUGUGUCUGUUGUCUUAUCAGGUUCGCCGUUCGCGGAUCUUGGAUAUUCCCAGUUUUUACAACAAUCCUGAAUAUUGUUAUACUAACCACAACAUCAGCUACUAAACAUCAGGAUGAUUGAAUGAAGAAUGUAAAACAAACUUUGGCAUUUACUAGGAUCCCGGAUCCGGUGUGUACUAUUGUGUCCACCAGGUGAAGGAGUGUCUGAUCGUGAGAGAAACUGAGUGACGAAAGUUAGUUGAUCACCUCAUUCUUUUUCAAGACGCUGUACGGCGUAUUACAGCGAACAUCAACAUUUUUUGAAUUAGAUAUAUUCUUGUAUUUGUGUGUGGAUCUAAAGGUUAUUUGCCUACAUUUCGGUCCAACUAUUGUCCUACAUUCCAUCCUACUCCCAGUGUGUCGUCUGACCAUGUGUCCUAAAAGCGCUGUCCGUAUGCUGAAAUGUCGUCUCGUACUACACACUUUAUUGGAAUGAGUUCAACCUGCAGACGGGCCGGCCAGUUUGCAUGCCCUUCACUCUUGAAGGUCACGGGGAACAUUACGUGUAAAACUGUCAAUGCGGAGGUUGGGUGAGAAAGGGACGUGUUGCAUCAUAUCAAGCAGGU